rnacentral:rRNA from 1 species
AAAUUGAAGAGUUUGAUCAUGGCUCAGAUUGAACGCUGGCGGCAGGCCUAACACAUGCAAGUCGAGCGGUAGCACAGAGAGCUUGCUCUCGGGUGACGAGCGGCGGACGGGUGAGUAAUGUCUGGGAAACUGCCUGAUGGAGGGGGAUAACUACUGGAAACGGUAGCUAAUACCGCAUAAUGUCGCAAGACCAAAGUGGGGGACCUUCGGGCCUCAUGCCAUCAGAUGUGCCCAGAUGGGAUUAGCUAGUAGGUGGGGUAACGGCUCACCUAGGCGACGAUCCCUAGCUGGUCUGAGAGGAUGACCAGCCACACUGGAACUGAGACACGGUCCAGACUCCUACGGGAGG